AGCGAACGCUGGCGGCAGGCCUAAUACAUGCAAGUCGAACGCACCUUCGGGUGAGUGGCGGACGGGUGAGUAACGCGUGGGAACGUGCCCUUUGGUUCGGAACAACACAGGGAAACUUGUGCUAAUACCGAAUGUGCCCUUCGGGGAAAGAUUAUCGCCAUUGGAGCGGCCCGCGUUGGAUUAGCUAGUUGGUGGGGUAAAGGCCCACCAAGGCUACGAUCUGUAACCGGCCUGAGAGGGCGGCGGUCACACUGACACUGACAUACGGGUCAGACUCCUACGGGAGGCAGCAGUCGGGAAUUUUGGGCAAUGGGCGAAAGCCUGACCCAGCAACG
rnacentral:rRNA from 1 species